rnacentral:lncRNA from 1 species
CAAAAACUGUUUAAUAGGUGAAAUUUAAAAGCAACAUUAAUGCAUGCUUAAAACAGCACAUUGUACUUCAUAAGUAUGUACAAUUAUAAUUUUUCAGCAAAAUACUAUAACUGAUAAAUUAUAAUAAAUUAGCAAAAUUUAAAUUUAAAAAAUUCAAGUAUUUAUUUGCCUCAUAAACUAGCCUCAACUAAAUUAGAAUAAAACUUGAUGUUUAUGAUUCUAUAAAGGAACCACAUGCUUUGAUAGAUUUAAUAUUGUUUUGCUGCAUAUAUGGAUAUUUAUUUGCUAUAAAAUGUAUAGGAUAAAAUUGUCAUCAUGACCUUAACAGCCUCAAAUCUAUACAUAUAAUUUAAACAUUUGUUAUAAUGAUGAAUAAUUAUAUUAUUAAAUAGAUUUAUUUUUGAAAUAUAACGAUUACUGAAUUAAGUUAAAAUAAUGCUUAUAUUUUGAUAUAAUAAUCAUAAAGAAAGUAGAAGCUAUUUUAUUUUGUUAAAGUGAAGAUAUUUACUCCUUCUAGUUCAGCUUCAUCAAUUCCAGCAUCAUACUCAGAUAGUUUUAACAUUCUGGAUAAAUCAGGUAGAGAGAAGGAAACAUGCUCCACAUUUUGCUUAUGGGAGUAUUUUACUCCAUUUUUAAAACCGAAAAGCAGACAUAUGGAGCCACGGAACAGAAUAGGGAACCCAGAAAUAGAUCCACACAUUUACAGCCUGCUGAUUUUCAACAAAGUUGAGAAGAACACAAAACGGGGAAAAGGUAGUCCCUUCAUCUGUCUUCAGAGUUUUAGAUGAUCUCCAGUCUGUUUUCCUGUAUCCUAUUUGACUUCACUUGCAACUAGUUUCCAUUGGAUUUCAUCCCAUGCAACUUUUCCAUUUUCUGUUUUGCUUUGUAUCCUUUCCACAGCUAGUCUGCAGACAUCUCUUUUAACUGUAUCAGUAAUGUACAAUAUUUUCAUUCCUAUAUUGUUUAGUGUAAAUCGAUGUUUCCAUGAUGAAAGGAAUUCUGAACCUUAGUCCUUUUGGUUGUGGAACAAGAACCCAGUAUUCACCAAACUGUGGGAGCAAAAGAGCUGUAACACUUCUGCUCACUGAGCUGUGGGUGGUGGGAGUAAAAGAGCUCUAACCUUUCCUCCCACUUGACAAACAACAGGAGUGAAGAAGUCAAUGGGUGUCAGGCCCUUCUACUUGCUGAGCUAUAGGAGUGAAGAAGUGAAGCAGCUGGGCACCACUCUCUCCUGCUUGCUGAACUAUGGGAGUGAAAAAGCUGCAACAACACCAUGUAGGUACGAGAAGAAAAUGUUGGAAAAACACUCCAGGAAGUUGGUCUGGGCAAAGAUUUUUUGGGUAAGACUUUAAAAGCACAGGUAACAAAAGCAAAAAUAGGCAAAUAUGUUGACCUUUUCUCCAGGAUCCCAUUAUUUUUUUAAGGUAAUUUGCCUUUGGUUUCUUUUAACCUAAUUGGGAAUACAACUUCACUCAGGUUUCAGCUCAGAUGCUACUUGUUAAGGAAUAACUUACCAAGUUACAAAGCAAUAAUAUUU